rnacentral:rRNA from 1 species
AUGGCUGCAAAUGAAGGGGCUAAUGGGGAUGAGGAUGUCUACGAUCCAAUGAAAGAUCCAGCAAGGAAGCCACGCCGGUCAAAUGACCCGGGAUGGAAGUAUGGGUAUUGGUACAAUCCUCCCAGUCGUGAAUAUGUUGUGUGCAAUCUUUGCAGCAAGGUAACUACUGGAGGAAUCAAGAGGCACAAGGAGCAUCUUGCUGGCUGUGGUGGAGAUGCGAUUGGUUGUCCUAAGGCUACCAUUGAAAUCAGGAGAGAGAUGGCAGCAUAUUUGGAGCAAAACAAGAGGAACAAGGGAGUAGAUGAUGAUGACAACAAUAAUGAUGUUGUGGAGGUGAAUGAAGAUGGAACAAAUGUCCCCAUUACCAAGCCAAGCUCAGGGACAGCAGCCAAGAGGAACAAGAGAGCAUUUGUUGCCAAGAUGCAAGGAAGAUGCAAGUCUACUGUUGCUUCCAACAACAUUUCAAAGCCAAUUGUUGCCAUGCUGCGAAGAACACCUGAGGAGCUUGUAGAUGAAAGACGCUCUGGGUGUUCUCAAAGCACCACGGAGUCUAGCACAAAGACUAAAGAAGAGAGAGAAUAUGUGAGUAUCCAGUGGGCAUUGUUCCUCUAUGAGUGUGGCAUUCCAUUCAAUGCUGCAAGUAGUAGAUAG